CACACUUGUUGCUGUUGAACAAGAUAAAUCACGCGGAAGGAAGACAUGUCAGUGUGCCUGCAUCCUCAUUGAUACCAUCCGCUAGAGUGUUAAACUUGAAUAUCAGGUAUGAUUCCCGGAGCUCGCGGUCAUGAUUUGAGCGAAAACCAGAUUCAAGAAUGGUUGCUUUCAUUUGGUCGAAAGAGUGGCCUGGCAUGCGAACAUGUCGUGAUAACGGUAGAUGAGGGAAAGUAUGUACAUGCGAUUUGUGGUUAUUAAAGCGUAUUCUGAA